rnacentral:rRNA from 1 species
UACAGAGGUGGCUAGCGUUGUUCGGAAUUACUGGGCGUAAAGGGCGCGUAGGCGGCUUGGUCAGUCCCGUGUGAAAUCCCUCGGCUCAACUGAGGAACUGCACGGGAAACUGCCUGGCUUGAGUUCGGGAGAGGGAAGCGGAAUUCCGGGUGUAGCGGUGAAAUGCGUAGAGAUGCGGAGGAACACCGAUGGCGAAGGCAGCCCCCUGGGCCAAUACUGACGCUCAGGCACGAAAGCGUGGGGAGCAAACAGG